AUUGAACGCUGGCGGCAGGCCUAACACAUGCAAGUCGAACGAGUGGCGGACGGGUGAGUAAUGUCUGGGAAACUGCCUGAUGGAGGGGGAAAACUACUGGAAACGGUAGCUAAUACCGCAUACCAUCAGAUGUGCCCAGAUGGGAGUAGCUUGGUGGUGGGGUAACGGCUCACCAAGGCGACGAUCCCUAGCUGGUCUGAGAGGAUGACCAGCCACACUGGCACUGAGACACGGUCCAGACUCCUACGGGAGGCAGCAGUGGGGAAUAGUGCACAAUUGGCGCAAGCCUGAUGCAGCCAUCCCGCGUGUAUGACGAAGGCCUUCGGGUUGUAAAGUACUUUCGGCAGGGAGGCGUUACCCGCAGAAGAAGCACCGGCUAACUCCGUGCCAGCAGCCGCGGUAAUAC
rnacentral:rRNA from 1 species